CUGGGGUUUUGUUUCUUGCAGCCAGAGCCUCCGGAGUGAUACUCUACCCUCCUUCACCUCCUGCCUCAUUUAACUUGAAUAGGCUUUUGGAAGUAACUCCAAUGUUUCUGCCUAUAUGGUCCCCAUCCAAGUCUCUGCUGGUUAAAUGACUGAUCUCAAUUCAAGUUGAACAAUUCCAAUGGGAUGUGAUGUGGACGUAAACAAUGGCCAGCCAGCUCCCGAAGAAACAAGGUGAUUUUGAAACUCCAGGAUGAAUGCUUUAACUCCUGGUCCCAGAUGAACCAGAGGGCCAGAGAAGGAGCAGCCUUAUGAAGAGAGGUGACCGAUGAAAGGAGGUGAUCAUGUUCCUUGGGUCGGGAGAUGCUGUUUGCUUGACUCAGCUUUGGGGAGGACAAGUUGUCUUCCUUGAGCUUGUUCAGGAUCCAAGAGUCCAAAUUCCUGCCUGUGUGGUUUGAACCCUGAGGCUGAGAGCCAGAUAGUAUCUAACAGAAACCAGAUUUCUCAAGAAACGCCAUUUUGCCUCUGGCCUCACCCAAGAACUAUAAGGAUGCCUCCCAGCUCCAGAAAGCCCCUCAGGGUUUGGGGGACUGCAACAGGAACUGGUGACCAGCUGCGUGGAACCCAUCUCUUCUUGUAAGUGUUUAAUGCCAGGGUCUGCUCUGUUCUACCAACAUCUGCUCGAUAAUCAUGCUCCUCUCUCCCACUUUUGACCUUGAAAAUAAGGCUGCUCACUCAAAGCUUCAGCAGUGAAGUUCAGUCACAGUGAGGAGGAAGGCAGCUUCUUAGGCACUGCGUGGAAGGCUGUCUGUACAGCCAGGCCUCUCUCUACAGGGACAGGAGGCCAUGUCCAGGAGAGGCCCAUUAAUCUGCUAGCCACCACUUCUUCCUGGGUCUCCAAACAGCUCCAGGACAUACACUCCAGGCCACCAAGUGCAGUGUGACUUUGGGUUAGAGAAGAAGAAACACAACUGGGAAACCUUGGAGAGACACUGAGGCUUGCCUUGGCCACACCCUACAUGACAGAGGACACAGACACUACCUUGUUGAUCCUACCAACAAGGAAAUGGGGCAAACUAUCUUUUCAAAAGCUGUCAGUGAGAGGUUCAGAGUUUGAGGAGGAAUUAAUGACAAACUGACAUUGAAAGAAAAUGUAGCUGAUUACUUUUUCAAAAAAGCCUCCUAGAAUCCUUUAGGAAGAUGACAGAUGUCAUCAUUCCCUUUUCAAUGUUCUUCGAGUCAUCUGACUUUAGCCAGGACAUAAUGCCCAGUUGGGUGUAAUUUAUUUGCAUGAGCCCUCAGAAAGGCCUGGAUGGAGAAUAGAAGUGGGUUACAGGGGCCUCAGCACUGGGUCCUGCUCAUUGGCAGCAUGGAGCCUCAGCACAUCACACACUCCCUGACAUGCAGCGUCAGUACUCCUAUUCCAGUCUUCCGUGAUGGCAGCUGAACACCAGCCAUAGGACAGGUCUAGAGAAUGAUCCAAUCUCAGCCUGUGCGAGGCAAAGCCAACUCACUGUCAGUGGCCAUUGAAAUCAAGCUGCCCAGCUUUCUUGCAAAGCUGGUACAACAGGGAUAUUAACAAUGGGGGUAGCCUUUCCUCCACUCAUGGGCUUCCGUUACAAACGGAGAGGUGGCUGAGGGUGCCAUACAGAGGUACAGAGAUGAUUUGAGGUGACACGGAGAUGGGCAAUGGCUACAAAUGAACUCAUACAGUGACAAUGUUGUUCCCUUUCCUGUCCCUUUGCAUUGUCCUUACUUCAGCCAGGACCAUGGUCCCAGAUGGUAUUAGUCUUGGAUAUCUUUCUAAUGCCAUCUUCAGACUCAGCAUCUUCUACAGACAAGCUGGCAGUUAAUUGCAUUGUUUUGUGUUUGCUGUGUUUGUUUUUAUAGUGAUUAUUUCCUAUUUAUGUCCAGUGAUACUUAUUUUCCAUUUAUGAGUGGUGUGAAACUUUAAAAUCAAUGUAUUAUUUUAUGAUAGGUAAUCAAUUGAAAGAAAAAUAUUAUUUAAGUAGAGGACAAGAGGUGCACAAAAUUCACCAGACUUUGGAAAACACUGGUACAAGACCACCAGAUGCAGACUUGAACUUGAACCCUGGCUCUGCCAUUUCCUAAUCAUGUAGCCUGUGCAGACUACAUAAUUAUUGUUAAUUAUAUGAGAUAAGAGGCGUGGGAGUUCUCUGUGAACUGCAAGAUAAUAGUCAGUGAUUACUUACCAUUGCUGCAAUUCAAUCACUUCAUUGGAAAGUACUACAACUUAGCCACGUUUGCAGUUUUUCUUGUUGCUAUGGCCACUGCGGGUGGGCAAAGGGUCUGCAGAGAGCUGUCAGCACCUAGAUACUGAAGGAUCCCCUCUGGUUGAAGUUCCUGCCAGAGAGCCCAAACUCUAGCCAGGGCAAGGAGGGGAGGUUGCCAAUCUGCCCAGCACAGGACUUGCAGAGUUACUGUCAGGCAAAUGGCUUCCUGAUGGUCACAGGGAGACCUGCUUGUCUGUCAGCUGGGCCAGGGGAGGGUCCCUGACAGCAAAGGAUUCCAAGAGCAGAUUUAGGGAAGCUAGAGGGAUCCCUAGAUCUGGACGCCUGUCCUUCAAUUACAGAGGGCAGCUGAGGCCUGGAACCAUGUGGCCAAUGCCACAGAGCAAGGCCUCAAAUCCCCUUUGCUACUGCAUAUGCCUUCCCCGAGGUGCCAGGCAAGUUGACUGCUACAGAAAUUAUACUCUAAGGAGCAGAGCUGCUUCUUCCAAGCUCAUGGCUCUCCCUGUGGGCAGCCUGCAUCCAAGGCUUUGUCCUCAUGGGGGACAAAACCCAGCAGCCUCAUACCCUUUUGAGACAAGCUUGUGGACCAUCUAACAUCUGAGUCCCUGUAGCCUGGCUGUAGCCUCUGUGGUGACUUUAGCUUCAUAGUUGAGUGUCCCCUACCCACUCCUGUUUUCUUUUUUUUUUUUUUUUUUUUGUACCAGGGAUCGAACUCAGGUCCUUGCAUUUGCGCAGCAGGCGGCGAAACCACUGAGCUAAAUCCCUGGCCCUACUCCUGCUUUCUUUAUCCUCAGGUGACUGUGGCUGGGAACACUGCUUGCCUAUGUUCAUAUUUUCCUCUCAGAGUCCCUUCCAGCAAAACAUGACCAAUGACAGAUGGGACCAGACUUGCUUGUGGCCAUAUGUAUGCUGGUGGCCGAGUGCAGACCCUGGGUUGGCCCCUCUGGCCAUGUCUUGUAGCCCUUAUGUUCUCCAGAGUUCCCAUUGGUAACUUAGGGUGUGUUCAAAUUCCAGAUGCUCAGGCAACAUUUGAUAACUUAUGGCCAAAAGGAGGGAAAUAGGAGUUCCCUUUCCACAAAGCAAUAUUUGCAAUGCACAAUCUUGUGGUUUAUCAUUUGUUGCACACCAGGCCCUCUUUUAGGUAUUAGAGAUAGAACGGUGAAAAUAGAUGGAAAGCCCUGCCCUGUGUGGCUUGUCUUCCUGGGUGGGACACAAUAAUAAACAAGGCAGAAAAAUAAACUACUUAGGAAGUUAGGUAAUGGGUGUGUGUGUGUGUGUGUCUGGUGGGAGUGUGCAAAUACAGGCGAGAAGUUAGAAAGGGUUUCACCAGGGAAGCAACAUUUAAUGAAAAGAAAGACUUGAGGAGAAAGUGAGCUAGGAACACUUGGAUAGAGAGAGCAGCAGGGGUCCCACUCUCCAGGAAUGGGACUACUUCUGGGGACAAGUUCUUCAAGCCUGGCUGCUAGAUCUACAGUGGGUAUCUACUUAUUUCCUGCACAAGGGAAUCAUUGCCAGCAGUUCAAGAACUACUUGUGUAAAUACCGAAUAGUUUCUCUAAUGUGAGAAACUGAAAGUGUAAAUAAAGAUUAAAAUGGUGAAAAGAAAUAAUUGAUAAUUUGAAAUAGGAAAAGGUCCAAAGGUGUAGGGGUGGUGGGAGGGGAAGGGGAAAGG